UACGUAGGGGGCAAGCGUUGUCCGGAAUCAUUGGGCGUAAAGAGCGUGUAGGCGGUUCAGUAAGUCUGCUGUGAAAGUCCAGGGCUCAACCCUGGGAUGCCGGUGGAUACUGCUGGGCUAGAGUACGGAAGAGGCGAGUGGAAUUCCCGGUGUAGCGGUGAAAUGCGCAGAUAUCGGGAGGAACACCUAUUGCGAAGGCAGCUCGCUGGGACGUUACUGGACGCUGAGACGCGAAAGCGUGGGGAGCAAACAGG
rnacentral:rRNA from 1 species